rnacentral:misc_RNA from 1 species
UCUCAAGUCAUCUGAAAAUGCUCUUAAAAGUGCAAGUUAGUGCAUAAACAAUGACGAACAUUCCAAAGAUACUUAUUUUUAUGAUGUUUGCAACUCUCAUGAAAUCAGUAUUUUGAAAUGUCAUUUGAUGAAUUCAUGAGUUUUGUUAAUUAUGUCUUGUGAUAUGUGUCAAUGUUAUCCCAUUUUUUUUUUUUUUUGUGGUUUGUUGAUAGGGGUUCAAAACCCCAAUUUUUUCUCUUUCAACUGAAUAUUUGUACAGUCUUAAUUUCUCUCUUUGAAUUCCUAGGACGCAGAAGUUAGUUGGCAGAACUGAAAAAAUUAUGUUUAAAAAAUUGAAUAAUGAUUGAAACAUUUUUAGAUUAUUCAUAUUGUUUUAAAAUAUUGAUGAUAUUUUUUAGUAUUUAAUCUAAAGAAUUG